rnacentral:rRNA from 1 species
UACGUACUGUGCGAACGUUAUUCGGAAUCACUGGGCUUAAAGGGUGCGUAGGCGGCCAAUUAAGUAGGGUGUGAAAGGCUUCGGCUCAACCGGAGCAUAGCGCUCUAGACUGAUUGGCUCGAGUGAGAUAGGGGUGUGCGGAACUUCCAGUGGAGCGGUGAAAUGUGUUGAUAUUGGAAGGAACGCCGGUGGCGAAAGCGGCACACUGGGUCUUAACUGACGCUGAGGCACGAAAGCCAGGGGAGCGAACGGG